AUUGAACGCUGGCGGCAUGCCUUACACAUGCAAGUCGAGCGGUAACGCGGGGCAACCUGGCGACGAGUGGCGAACGGGUGAGUAAUGUAUCGGAACGUGCCCAGUAGUGGGGGAUAGCCCGGCGAAAGCCGGAUUAAUACCGCAUGAGACCUGAGGGUGAAAGCGGGGGAUCGCAAGACCUCGCGCUAUUGGAGCGGCCGAUAUCAGAUUAGGUAGUUGGUGGGGUAAGAGCCUACCAAGCCGACGAUCUGUAGCUGGUCUAAGAGGACGACCAGCCACACUGGGACUGAGACACGGCCCAGACUCCUACGGGAGGCAGCAGUGGGGAAUUUUGGACAAUGGGCGCAAGCCUGAUCCAGCCAUGCCGCGUGCGGGAAGAAGGCCUUCGGGUUGUAGACCGCUUUUAGCCGGGAAGAAAAGGCGAGGGAUUACACCCUUCGUUCUUGACGGUACCGGCGGAAUAAGCACCGGCUAACUACGUGCCAGCCGCCGCCGUAAGAC
rnacentral:rRNA from 1 species